GUUGCUAGUAAUCGCGAAUCAGCAUGUCGCGGUGAAUACGUUCCCGGGCCUUGUACACACCGCCCGUCACACCAUGAGAGUUGGCAAUACCCAACGUACGUGAUCUAACCCGCAAGGGAGGAAGCGUCCUAAGGUAGGGUCAGCGAUUGGGGUGAAGUCGUAACAAGGUAGC
rnacentral:rRNA from 1 species